GAUGAACGCUAGCUACAGGCUUAACACAUGCAAGUCGAGGGACCGGCGCACGGGUGAGUAACACGUAUCCACCCUGCCCUUUACUCGGGGAUAUCCUUUCGAACGAAAGAUUAAUACCCGAUAUAACGGAUGGGGAUGCGUUCCCUUCGGUUGUUGGUGAGGUAACGGCACACCAAGCCUUCGAUGGAUAGGGGUUCUGAGAGGAAGGCACCCCGAGUUGGAACUGGGACACGGUCCAAGCGCUGACGGAGGGCAGCGGUUAGGAAGAGUUGUCAAUGGGCGGUAGCCUGAACCAGCCAAGUGUCGUGAAGGAUGAAGGGUUAGUGGUGGUAAACUUGUUUUAUAUAAGAAUAUGUAUUAUAUGAAUAAGGAUCGGCUAACUCCGUGCCAGCAGCCGCGGUAAUAC
rnacentral:rRNA from 1 species